rnacentral:rRNA from 1 species
ACGGAAGGCAGCAGUGGGGGAUAUUGCACAAUGGGGGAAACCCUGAUGCAGCGACGCCGCGUGAGCGAUGAAGUAUUUCGGUAUGUAAAGCUCUAUCAGCAGGGAAGAAAAUGACGGUACCUGACUAAGAAGCCCCGGCUAACUACGUGCCAGCAGCCGCGGUAAUACGUAGGGGGCAAGCGUUAUCCGGAUUUACUGGGUGUAAAGGGAGCGUAGACGGUAUUGCAAGUCUGAAGUGAAAGCCCGGGGCUCAACCCCGGGACUGCUUUGGAAACUGUAGUACUAGAGUGCAGGAGAGGUAAGUGGAAUUCCUAGUGUAGCGGUGAAAUGCGUAGAUAUUAGGAAGAACACCAGUGGCGAAGGCGAUCUACUGGACAGUAACUGACGCUGAGGCGCGAAAGCGUGGGGAGCAAACAGGAUUAGAUACCCUGGUA